UCCAUCCUUUGACAGGUGGUAGAAAAAGCCCUUGCCAUCAUCACUGAGUGGUGAGAGCAGUGGGUUUUCACUGAUGUCUCUGUUGGAGAUGGGAAGGUGCCCGGGCUGUUUUGUACCUUUCACAGGUGAAUCUUCAUAUUGGGUCAGGAGGAUGGGUGGGAGGUAAGUGCUCUCAGAAUACUCCAGGGCUUUGUAGGACAGAGGGCUCAAAAUUGUUGGGAUUGGCUCUGUGCAUCUGUGGGACAGAAAAUGCAGAGGCUGAACAGGCAGCUGUGUAAGCACCCAUGGAAUUUAAAUGCCCCUGCACUGGGAGGAGCUGUGGGGAGCUGAAAUCUGGAUCAAAGGACUGUGAAAUACCAACAACUCCUGUUAGGACUCCUAGCCCUUGACUUGGUUGUCUCUCAUAGCGUAUGAUAAGGGAUGUGCCUGUGUUUGUGAAGCUUUUACCUCCAGCAUUCUCAAGCUUGCUCAGCAAUGGAUUAUGUGGGUGCCCACACUUGCUCUGCAUCUCCAUUACCUGAUCUUUCAACACAGUGUUAGCAAGCUGGUUUUUUUCCCAGGAUGAGACUUUAAUUCCCUCCCAUUGAUCAUGGCCAAAGAAGAGAGCUCAAAUGGAGAUUUUAUUCCAGAAACAAUGGCCCCCUUAUGUGCUGUGUCGUGAUCUCUCUGAAUGAACCUGCUGGUGAAAUGAAGGCUUUUCUCCGGGCUGUUUUUUACCUCUCACAGGUGAAUCUUCAUAUUGGGUCAGCUGCCUUGAUUCCUGCAGGGAGAGAAGGGAAGUAAAACAUGAAACCUUUGUUCUGUGGGGACUGAGACAAAAUGACAGUCAGUGGGACUCGGGCUUUAUAUUUAGUUUCCAUAAAUCUCCAGGUGCUGCAGGGAAUUUGUACCCAUUAACAGCGACAAAGUGGAGGGCAAGUUCCCUGCGCAGUUUUAUGUGUUUUUGUGCCUUAAGACACUUCUCUCUGGGUCCAGCCCAAAGCCUCUUGCCUGGGCUGGCGGCUCACUUCCAGCCAAACUGCUCUUGUCCUUCUUGCCUCGUCCUCAGCGCUGCUGUGAGCUGCUGCCUAUUCUGUCUGCACCUGCUCUUCCACACCCUUCCCACUGCUGUUGGCAUUUCCUAAGUUGUACAUAAAAUACAGCUUGCUGCUUUCCCAUGUUUGGCUCUCUGAUGGCUGAGCUGCAGCAAGCCCACCAAACUUAUUAAUUUGAUCAUGCAGUGCAGGAGGCUUUGAAAGCAAGACCUUGGUGUUCUUGAUUACUUCCUCUCCUGUCAUCCUCUCUUGCCACUAUCCAUCAAGAACGGCAUUUUAAUGAUCCCUUUGCUUCUUUUCCUUUUUUCCUGAGACUUCAAAGCACAAGAAGCAGCAUUGUCAUUUCUGUGCUGCCUAAAUGAAGGGAAACUCUCUCCAAGUGCUGAGUGUGAAUUUCAGUGUACAAAUUCCCAUGCAGUUUCCUACAGCACAGCAAAAAAAUAAAAAUACUGUAUUGGUUUGUGUUUCUGUGUUGAGAGGAAUAAAGAGAUAUGCUUGCAUCAGGUAGAGAUGGAGAGAGGGCAUUGCAUUGUCCAUAAUUUGAAAACAUAUCAUGAGAUGUAUUUUCCUGUGUGUAUAUUUGAAAGGAAGCUCCUCAGUAAGUGCAGAACUCUGUGGUGGUGUUCACGCUCUGGAAGAAGUCAGCUGUAGGUUUAGUCAUACCUGAGAGUGAAAUCCUGGCCAUGGUGAAGUCCUCGGGAAGCUGGUCAAAGCCUUCAGAGAGUUGCAAGUCACAGCAAGAAAGUCUGGAUUUUUCUUCUAAUAGAUAUAUCAGAGAAAUGAUGGGGUUAUCAACUGUCUCCUUCUCACACCAUUAUGAAACUUUUGUAAGGGACCUUCAUAAAAGUGGCUGAGUGACUGAGCAAAGCAAUAGAGGACAAGGAUGGAAACCCCUUGGACUUCUCAUCUUGGAGGGAGGAGGACAUCUCUGAGCAAAUCAGGAAAAUACUGGUUGUAAGCAGAGAUAACUGCAAGAAGUGCUUGUAAGCUGGAGGGCAGAAGGAGAGGAACACCUGGCAUGUUGUCUGGAUGUUCACAGCAGUUGCUGGUCAUGUCCUCUUUGGAAGGGAGAACAGGUGUUUCUGCUGCUAAGUGUUGAAAGAGAAACACAGAGCCCUGAACUUUGAAGACUUGGCAGCUGUUGAGAGAAGCAGGAAAGGAGCUGAAAUGCCAAGUGAAUUUCAAAGUCGUUGUCAUCAUGUGGAAGAGGGACAGCUGUCACAUGAAAUGUGACAGAAUUGACAGGACAGGAUCUUGUGGCUUAGUACUUCUGAAACACCAAGUAAACAACAAGCAGGUAGUUACUGAGUAUUCUUGCUCUCAGAUUGAAGGAUGGAGAUGGGAUGUUGGAUCUUCAAGCCUUCUCCAGACCUGAUCAAGCUCA